UAUUAUUUGAUCAUGUUGAUCUAGUAUAUUUUUUAUUAAUAAUAUUUUGAAUUUUUUUAAAUUUUAAUUAUUUUUAUUAUAUAUAAUUAUUUAAUACUAUAAAUAGUAUGAAAAAUAAUAAAAUUCUCUUAAUUUGUUAUAAUAUAUAAAUAAAAUAAUAUAUUUAUUUUUAUUAUAAGAACCAAGUAAAAUAAAAUGGAGAGAGUAC
rnacentral:lncRNA from 1 species